rnacentral:lncRNA from 1 species
CACUAGCACCAUUUGAACACAUAUAAGUGAAUUCACCAUCUCUAUCAUUAUGUUUGCGCCCAUUUAAUAUAUAUAAAUCCUUUGCACAACACAAAUGUAUCAAUGAGCGACCAAAAUUAUUUGUAAUUUUGUCUUUAUUGCUACGUUUACACUGCGUAAUAUAUGUCUUUGAGUCGUGAUCGUUGUUUAUUAUGUAUUGAAGACCAGGAAUAUAGUUAGGUUUAUCUUCUGUGACAAAGUCAUUUAAUUCUGAAGUCCUAGAAUUAAAGUCACCCGCCAAAAG